UACAGAGGUCUCAAGCGUUGUUCGGAUUCAUUGGGCGUAAAGGGUGCGUAGGCGGCGCGGUAAGUCGGGUGUGAAAUCUCGGGGCUUAACUCCGAAACUGCAUUCGAUACUGCCGUGCUUGAGGACUGGAGAGGAGACUGGAAUUUACGGUGUAGCGGUGAAAUGCGUAGAGAUCGGGAGGAACAUCAGUUGCGAAGGCGGCUCUCUGGACCAGCACUGACACUGAGGCACGAAAGCGUGGGGAGCAAACAGG
rnacentral:rRNA from 1 species